rnacentral:rRNA from 1 species
UUCGUGUGAACAGUGGUUGAUCACGAGUUAGUCGGUCCUAAGUUCAAGGCGAAAGCCGAAAAUUUUCAAGUAUUUCAAAAAUCAAAAUAUAUUUGCAAUCCUAUUGAAUUUUUAAGCACUUGAAUAAUUUUGAACGAAAGGGAAUACGGUUCCAAUUCCGUAACCUGUUGAGUAUCCGUUUGUUAUUAAAUAUGGGCCUCGUGCUCAUCCUGGCAACAGGAACGACCAUAAAGAAGCCGUCGAGAGAUAUCGGAAGAGUUUUCUUUUCUGUUUUAUAGCCGUACUACCAUGGAAGUCUUUCGCAGAGAGAUAUGGUAGAUGGGCUAGAAGAGCAUGACAUAUACUGUUGUGUCGAUAUUUUCUCCUCGGACCUUGAAAAUUUAUGGUGGGGAUACGCAAACUUCUCAACAGGCCGUACCAAUAUCCGCAGCUGGUCUCCAAGGUGAAGAGUCUCUAGUCGAUAGAAUA